rnacentral:misc_RNA from 1 species
CUUCACGGCUUACUGCAAUUUACUACGGAGGUGUGUGCGUGUGCGCAUUGGUGUUGGUUGCCUAUGCGUAGAUCACUGUCGCGCUACUCUCACUAUCAGAGCCGCAGAAUUCCGCCUCUCCUCUUGAAUACCUCUGAACGCUUCGGCUUCUGCGGUUGCUUAAGCUUCCCCUAUAAGGGCCACCACCUCUCCUCGCGAAAAGCAACAAAAACUAAAAGUACCACCUCAGCACGCGCAUACGUCCGCUAUCUCCUCUGUCCCUCUCUCUCUCUUGGUUUCAGCUUUAGCUCGCCUCAAUCACUGUGCUCGUGUUUGCGCCUGCCGUCGCCCACGUUGCGUCUCCUUCGCGCUCCUUCUUUUUUUUUCGUGCUCUCCUCUCAUACACCAACGCGUUGCCCUGGCCCUUCAACGAGUGACCAAUGCUGCUAAAUAACGAGCCGUCUCCGGCGGUUCACGUACAGCCUACGCUGGCGGCCGCCUAUCAACGCACGCGCCUGAAGGCGAACGCGGUGCUUCUGCGCUACGGGCACAUUAUCCCUAUUGUAGCGGUGGCUUUCUGCCUCAUUCUCUCGACUUCGAUCUCUAUUCAGCGCGAGAUAGCCUACAGUCGAGCCGCAGCGCAGACGACGACAACGACUACAACCACAACGACAACCACAACGACAACCGCGGCUCCGGCAGGACCCAACACAACGUCCACGAUGGAGGCCAGCAGCACAGGCACAUCAGGGAUGUAAGGCGCUACAUUGAUCAUGCCACGUGCUAAAGUGUCGAUUACGUCGAUAUCCUCCGCUAAAGAUUCUGAAGGUGAUGACACUCUCCCUCCCCCAACACACACACACACACACACACGCAUACACACAGGGUGGCUCUGUAUACAUGUACUUGUGUUCAUUUCACUCAGUACUUGAUAUAUAGCGCAGCAGCGUUCUUGACAGGCUUUGUUGUAAGCGGCGCAUUCGCGGAGAUUGCCGGUGCAUGUGCUUGCGCUCGCGUACGAAAUCGUCAGUGUGUGGCGCGCCGGCCGCCGCCGUGGCGCUUCCCUCGGCGUCUUCCCACCCCCUGUGUUGUGCUGCACUGAUCGGAUGAUCUUCCUUGUUGUUGUUGUGGCUCCUUGUUACUGUUCUCUCCUCUGUCUCCGCUUCGCCAGCGGCCCUUAGCAUGCGCUGCCUGCGUUUCCCUUUCCAUUGUCGUGGACGGGUGUGCUUCUGAGGAGAGUCUAUCGGUGCGGUGAGGCAUACGGCGAAGGAAAGGGGGAGCAAGCGCAUGUAAGUGAUCACGAUAGGGCGGGCGAUAGCUUCGUGCCGCCUCCUUGCUCCCCACGGGUUGCGCACUUCUUCUAUUUCUCUCAUUGCUGCAUACAUGUGGUUGAAUGACUCCCAUCUCCUUUCCUCCACUACGAGCUGUCGUCGUGGGUGAGCGGAACAGCUUUUCUUGUUUGCCUUCGUUGUCGAUCUUUUUUCGUAUCGUCCAACUGCCGCGUAAUCCUCCUACUACCUCCAACCUCAUAUGCAACAUGCUUGUGGGAAU